AAAAAUAAGCUAAAUUAAGCUUUUGGGUUCAUACCCCAAAUAUAAAGUUAGGG
rnacentral:tRNA from 1 species